CUUGCUUCUCUUGAGAGCGGCGGACGGGUGAGUAAUGCCUAGGAAUCUGCCUGGUAGUGGGGGAUAACGUCCGGAAACGGACGCUAAUACCGCAUACGUCCUACGGGAGAAAGCAGGGGACCUUCGGGCCUUGCGCUAUCAGAUGAGCCUAGGUCGGAUUAGCUAGUUGGUGGGGUAAUGGCUCACCAAGGCGACGAUCCGUAACUGGUCUGAGAGGAUGAUCAGUCACACUGGAACUGAGACACGGUCCAGACUCCUACGGGAGGCAGCAGUGGGGAAUAUUGGACAAUGGGCGAAAGCCUGAUCCAGCCAUGCCGCGUGUGUGAAGAAGGUCUUCGGAUUGUAAAGCACUUUAAGUUGGGAGGAAGGGCAGUAAAUUAAUACUUUGCUGUUUUGACGUUACCGACAGAAUAAGCACCGGCUAACUCUGUGCCAGCAGCCGCGGUAAUACAGAGGGUGCAAGCGUUAAUCGGAAUUACUGGGCGUAAAGCGCGCGUAGGUGGUUCGUUAAGUUGGAUGUGAAAUCCCCGGGCUCAACCUGGGAACUGCAUUCAAAACUGACGAGCUAGAGUAUGGUAGAGGGUGGUGGAAUUUCCUGUGUAGCGGUGAAAUGCGUAGAUAUAGGAAGGAACACCAGUGGCGAAAGCGACCACCUGGACUGAUACUGACACUGAGGUGCGAAAGCGUGGGGAGCAAAC
rnacentral:rRNA from 1 species